GGAGAGGUGUCCGAGUGGUUUAAGGAGCUUGCUUGGAAAGCAAGUGUACGGUAAUUCCGUACCGAGGGUUCGAAUCCCUCUCUCUCCGCCA
rnacentral:tRNA from 1 species